rnacentral:rRNA from 1 species
GAUGAACGCUAGCGGCAGGCCUAAUACAUGCAAGUCGAACGAGAUUGAGGAGCUUGCUCUUCAUGAAAGUGGCGCACGGGUGCGUAACGCGUAUGCAACCUACCUUAAUCAGGGGGAUAGCCUCUCGAAAGAGAGAUUAACACCGCAUAACAUUAUUAUAUGGCAUCAUAUGAUAAUCAAAUAUUUAUAGGAUUAAGAUGGGCAUGCGUGACAUUAGUUAGUUGGCGGGGUAACGGCCCACCAAGACGAUGAUGUCUAGGGGAUCUGAGAGGAUGACCCCCCACACUGGUACUGAGACACGGACCAGACUCCUACGGGAGGCAGCAGUAAGGAAUAUUGGUCAAUGGGCGCAAGCCUGAGCCAGCCAUGCCGCGUGCAGGAAGACGGCCCUACGGGUUGUAAACUGCUUUUAUACUGGAAUAAACCUACUUACGUGUAAGUAGCUGAAUGUACAGUAAGAAUAAGGAUCGGCUAACUCCGUGCCAGCCGCCGCAGUAAAAC